rnacentral:tRNA from 1 species
GGGCCCGUGGCCUAGCCAGGAUAAGGCGUCGAGCGGCCUUCAUAGCCGGAGAUCGAGGGUUCGAAUCCCCCCGGGCCCGCCA